rnacentral:rRNA from 1 species
GGCGUGGGGAGCAAACAGGAUUAGAUACCCUGGUAGUCCACGCCGUAAACGAUGUCUACUAGCCGUUGGGACUCUUGAAGUCUUAGUGGCGCAGCUAACGCACUAAGUAGACCGCCUGGGGAGUACGGCCGCAAGGUUAAAACUCAAAUGAAUUGACGGGGGCCCGCACAAGCGGUGGAGCAUGUGGUUUAAUUCGACGCAACGCGAAGAACCUUACCUGGCCUUGACAUGCAGAGAACUUUCCAGAGAUGGAUUGGUGCCUUCGGGA